UGUAGUCAUAUGCUUGUCUCAAAGAUUAAGCCAUGCAUGUCUAAGUAUAAGCAAUUAUACCGCGAAACUGCGAAUGGCUCAUUAAAUCAGUUAUCGUUUAUUUGAUAGUACCUUACUACAUGGAUAACCGUGGUAAUUCUAGAGCUAAUACAUGCUAAAAAUCCCGACUUCGGAAGGGAUGUAUUUAUUAGAUUAAAAACCAAUGCCCUUCGGGGCUCUCUGGUGAUUCAUAAUAACUUCUCGAAUCGCACGGCCUUGCGCCGGCGAUGGUUCAUUCAAAUUUCUGCCCUAUCAACUUUCGACGGCUGGGUCUUGGCCAGCCAUGGUGACAACGGGUAACGGAGGGUUAGGGCUCGACCCCGGAGAAGGAGCCUGAGAAACGGCUACUACAUCCAAGGAAGGCAGCAGGCGCGCAAAUUACCCAAUCCCGACUCGGGGAGGUAGUGACAAUAAAUACUGAUACAGGGCUCUUUUGGGUCUUGUAAUUGGAAUGAGUACAAUUUAAAUCCCUUAACGAGGAACAAUUGGAGGGCAAGUCUGAAUCG
rnacentral:rRNA from 1 species